UUAAUAAUCUAGUGUAAAAUUUAAUCAAAAUACAUGAUGAUUGUAUAUUUUUUGUAAUAAAAUGACACAUUUUUGACAAAUAACCCAAAGGUAGAUGAACUCUGUCUUGAGAUGAGAGUGGAAGGGAUACUCAAAAGUAAUUCUCUGUAGUUGGCAGGCCCGAAGCAGGGCUCCCCAGAAACAUGUGGUGGAGGGUAGGAGGCACAGCAAGGGAGCUACAGGGAAAAUAGUUGCUAUUCAUCUGUUAUUUUUUAAAAGUAAUGAGAAUUAUUGAUGUACAAGGAACUACUGUUGACGCCUCAGCAGUGAUUGGGCCCUGGCCUUGAGAAACUUCUGAUCUAACAUCAUCAGUUCAUAGGAGUCCAUGAGCUCAUUUCCCUGGCAAUGGUGAAACCAGAGCCUAGAUUUGGCUUCUUCAAUUAGCUUUGGAGUAAAUAUCUUAAUACAAAAAAUAAAUUUUCUUGAAGACACACCUUCUCAAUAUGUUGGUCAUAAGUUCAGUAUGAAAUCAUGGCUUAAUUAGCAAAUUCAUUAAUUACAGUAACUGCACUCUUACUGGCAAGACUGCGGCUGUGUUCUGUUUUCAGCAGUGGUACAUUAAUGAGUCAAAGCACAUGAGCCCAUCCUUGGAAUGUCUGAACGGUUUAUAUUUUACCACUACUCUGUAUAUUUCCAUCCUUCAACACAUCUGGACUGGGCAGAGGGACAGAACAGUGAGUAAGUGAGAAUGGUCCCCAUCCUUAGCAGCAGACAGCUACUAGGGGAGGGUAGGUAGAAGUUUAUGUGUGAUUGCAUGGAUAAUUCCUUCCCAUCUGAGAAAUCCACGAAGACAAGGGGAGCGUGCCAUGAGAGCAUUACACAGGUUUCUGAUCUUGUAAGAGUCAGCCAGAUAAGGAGGGUUGAUAAGGAGGGUUUUGUGUCCCAGUGUUGGGGACAACAAGAAGGAAAGUUCUGAAGGGAGAAGGGGCUGGGAGGUGUGGCAGGACCGAGUGAAGGUUGGGGAACCAGAGCCCUAGGUGGGGGCAGUGCUCGAGAGGUAGGCAGGAGGGGCAGGCAGAGGCCAGCUAGGCAGAGACUUUGUCUAAAGGAAAAUGGAAACCACUGAAAGGUUUGAAGGAAGAAGUGGCCUUCUCAUUCACUGUGGAAAGAACAGCUUGAAGAGGGGCAAAAGUGAGGGAUAAGUCAAAACUUCCCCAAUGUGCAGGUUAUGGCUGAUGAUGGCUGGUGAGGGUGGUGGCAAGGGAAGGUCCCAACACCUUCCACGAUGCACCUGACACUGAGGUCAUCAGCUGGUUCUUACUAACAGAAGGAUAAAUUACUCUGUAAUUCAUACAUUUACUAAUAGUCCUUUUAUAAAAUCUGUGACCAUUAAGAAUUGUCCAGGAAUAUAUGCCCCAUUAUACCAUAAAGUACCUUUGAGUUUCAUGUCUUAUUUUGUAAUGGAUAUGUAUCAUAUAAUAGCCUGGUUUCCAUUCGUUUUCAUCUACUGGUGGUCAGAAGUGGCACAUACUCUGAUUAGAGAAAAAAAACUUGUGCAUGGCCAGUUACGCCCUCCCAGAAACAGAACAGGAUGAAAACCCUAUGAAGCUGAUGGUAGGGACCAAAGAAGUGGUGUUUCUCUCCAUUAAAGGUCAGAAAAAGUAAUUGUAUAGCACUGCUGAAACCACACAAUUUUUUUGUUUCUGUUUUUGUGUUGAGCAGCUAAAUGUCUUGUUACACUAACUCCAGAGAAGAAUGAAUCCAUUCUAGUUUGUAUCCAAGUCUAUCCCUCUACCAAAUCAAGGCAAGAAAAGGAGGGGAAUGGACUUUGUAGCCAAUUUUGCUAAAUAUAAAAGUCUUUACAGCCCCACCAAAAGGGUGCUUUCCCACCUAAUCAUCCUGUCUCUCCCCAAGUCAUGGUUCUGUGGUUUCCCAAGCAACCACUGAAAUCUGUUGUUUUCAAACUUGGUAUCACAACAAAUGGGUGUAGGAAAAAAAUCAACAUAUAUGCCAGAUUACUGUGCCACAUGAAAAUUACCAUAGAAUUUCUCUUCCUUAAUACCCAACAAAACAAGAAAAAUAAAAACCUAUAAAUUUCUCUUAACAGCAAUCAGCUAAAGGAACAUGUCAUGUAUAGUCAUAGAAUAUUAUAUAUACACAUAAUUAUAUAUAAUAUGCAUUUCAUUAUGGCGUGUGUGAGAACACACAUACACUCAAAGACUAGAAAGAAACAGAAAAUUCUGACAUGAGAUGUAGGGCAAAGCUUUGCUGCUAAUCUCAUUUCCAAAUCUUUAGGUGUGAGUCAAGAAUAACCUCAGAAUUUUCCCUCAUAGCCUCAUAUCUAUAAAGACAUGAUUCAGAUAGGUAUCUUUUCCCUGUUCUGAUCAGAAAAGCAUUUGAAACCUUGGCUGACAAGAAUCAGAUGAACAUGGAGAAGUGAGCCCCUGCGGGCUCCCUGGGACAGAAGCAAAGUCCUCUGUGGUCUACACUGAAGGGGAAGAUGGCCCAAAGCCCCAGAGAAUCUCCUGUGGGGAUGAAAGCAUUCCCCAACUAGGUACAGUGCUGAUGGCUUAGGGUAUUUAACUAAAUUUCAGAUGAGGGAGAGAGAGCAAAGGAAAAGUAUUUUAACAAAGGCUGCACUUUGCCUCACCAAACUCCUCCAACCCCAUCUUUGGCAUUCUUUCAGGAUUUAGAAAACCCAAUAGCUCUCACAGGAAAAAAAAAUAUAGUGGGAAGAAGGCUGAAAUGUCAAUCAAGCUAUAUCAGACCAACUAGAAUAAGCAAGAUGAAAAGAAAUGUCAGGGUUACUAGGAAAAUAUUUUCUAGAAAUACAGGGGAAGAAAGGAAGUAAAACACAGACCAUAGAGUCCCUCCUAGGGGAAAAAAUCGUUAAUUCCAACAAGAGAGGAAAUGCCUCAUAAUUGCUUCAUAACAUGGAAUCAAUUUUAAAAGUAUUCAAAAUAAAAUGCAAAAGCAACAGAGUAAGAGGAAAAAAGAGAUUUCGGGUCUCAGGAGACAAAAUAAGGAGCAAAAUAAUAUUAUUAUAAAAUUAAUGCAUGGAUUAAAAAUAGCAAGUAAUAGAACAGGAACUACUAAAAAUUAAAUUACUGACAGAGGAAAACCACAAGAGAACAGUGAGUAAAUGUAAAAAUAGACAAAGAAAUAAACAAAAAACUUUAAGAACUGUUAACAGAUAUGGAAGACAAAUUAUCUAACAUAUGGACAACUGGUAUCCCUCAACAGAGAUCACAAUAGAUGGAACAAAACAUAUUUAUAUAAAAGAGAAUUUCCCAGAAAUAAAGAGAAAAAAAAGGGACUCUCUAGACAAAAUGGCAGGAAUUUUUUAUUCCGAAUGAAUAGACCAAGAUACAUCCUAAUUAGGGUAUUUAACUUCAAGGUUAAAUAAAGAACCCUCAGGCAUUCAGGAAUAAAAUGCAAAUCACCUUGAAGAAGAAACAGUUACACUAGACUUGAUGUUUCCACAGCAACAUUCAACAAGCAAUGCCAUCAGCAAAAUCUAAAAAGUUCUCAAGGGAGAAAAAGAAAGAGUGGCCCAAGACCAUAGACUCUGUCAAAAUGCUCAUCAAAUACAAAGGCAACAGGCCAACAUCCUCAAAAACAAUACAAUGAUAGAAAUAGAACAUCUAUAGAAACUUUUUUUUAAAAAAGUUGCUUGAAUGUAAAGUCCAAUCAAUUAAGAGAUUAAUCAAAAUAAACAUAAAUAAGAAGAAAAGGGCAGGGUCUGAUCCUUGAAUCUAUUUAAAUAGAGUUAGUAAUAAAUAACUAAACUACUAUGAAUUAUGAUUACAGAAUAGAAUGUGAAUAUUACAAAGCUGGACAAUGUAAAAAUAAUAAGAUAAUGUGAACACUGGAACACUGAAUGUGAACUGGAAUACUGUCCUUAUUUUUCAAAGCAGUGAGCCAGUAGAUGCUGCUUAAAUUGAAACAAAUGGAUUAAAAAAAAUUCAAAUUUCUUAAUGUUUUUCAUAGUACAUAUUUUUAAUCUUAGAGGAUCCUUUAAAUAUAAUAUUCCUUUAUGUCAGAGGAUAUUUAAAAUAAGCCGCUUCUCUAGUUUUGUUUGGGUCUUUUUUCACCUCUUGAAUUUAAGGCAUGUAUGAUAAGUUGGAAUAUUUAUGAAAGUAUUUAUUUCAUAUUUACCUAUCCAUCAAUCCACCUAAUUCAUCAGCCUAUCCACUCACAUACAUAUGCAACAGAAAAUAUUUAGAAUGAUACUUUUCUACUUUUAAUAUUGGUAAUUUCUGGAUGUUGGGUUUUGUGGUGAUUUGAAAACAUUAAUCUUUGCAUUAAAAUUCUUUAUAUUAACUUUGUGUUAUUUUAACAAUAUAACAGGGUUUCUUUUUCUUACAAAAGAAGAAAAUAUACCUAGAUAAUUAUAAUGGGUAGCAGGAAUAUUGGUAAUUGUUGUUUUCCUCUUUGUGCUUUUCUCUAUUUUAAAAACGUUCCCAAGUCAAACACCAGACAGACUAAAAACAACAAUUAUCAUUGCUAUUUAAUACAAGCCCUUUUCUAAUUAGAUUAAUCAGUCCUGUUGACCUGUAUUUGAUGGUCUCAGAGGGGGAGAUCUUUAAUGGCCCCAGUGGUGAGGAAUGUUGCUGGCAAAACAAAUACUUAUUCACACUCACGUCAAAGUUUAAGGUAAAAAUUUUAAUCAUAGGUUAUAGAACAAUAAAGCAAAACUAUAAUAGCCACUCUGAGCAACAGUCAUCAUGAAAAUCUUACAUUCUUAAGAUGCUUUCUAGUGUUGGGAGCACCAUCACAUCCAUCACCCCUUCUGAGCCUCAGAAUAGCUCUGGGAGGAGGCAGGGCAACAGACCCACACCCAUUCCACAGAUGGCAACACUAAGCCCAGCACCAUGCUCAAGGCCACCAGUCACUCCUAGCUGGAGCUGACUCUGAAGGAUGGGGCUCUCUCAACUGAACCACUAUUGGGCCAGCUUGUGUGAUAACAGCUGUAUUCCUAGUCUUUCCACAUUCACAUGAAGGCUAAACUCAGCAUCCGAGAAGUGGAGAGGGGCCUCAGAGACUCACUCACCUUUUAAUUUUAGGGCUGCAGAAGCUGUGACACAUUGGGAGUGACUGAUGGAAAUCUCAUCAAGUUGAAGCGGGGGUAAGGUAGGUAUUUUAGGGCAGGAAGAGGCAUCAUUUUUACAAAUGAACUGCCAAGCACCAACAGAUUAUGCAGCUGCUUGUGAGUCUUUUGCUCCAAACUCCUCUUCUGCUACCCUCGUCCACUGUUCCUACUAUGUCCCCUGGGAACUCCUUUUUCAUCUUCGCUUUGCCUCAUCAGAGCACUGUGUUGUUUAUUUCUUCUACUAACACAGAAGCAUCUCAAGCCAACGCCCACAUUGUGGUCUCACAAGGGUGGGGGUUGGGGAGUGGCUCCAGUAGAGUUUCACAGAUGAAUCUCUCCUUUGGUUUCAAGUCUCCAAAAGCUAAAAGGGGCUGCAAACGUUCAUUCACCAAAGCAUUCUCCAGGCUCCUCACCUGACAGAGGACGCCAUCCCUGCUUCUUAAGGUGAGAAGAUUGAGGCCUGGAGGAAUCGCCUGUAAGCCCCAGAUCCCUGGCUGACUGGCAGAGGAGACAGCACUCUGGCUGCAGGGCUCUGGCCAGGUGAACAGAAGCUACAGUAAGAAGACCAACAUGAAAGCCAAAAUUUGACUUCUCGACCAUUUAAUAGAGAAUGAAAAGGAUCUUUCUUUAUCUAUAUAAAGUGAUGUACCCCCAACAUAAGGAAAUAAUGUUGAAACACAGAAUAUUGCCUAAAAUUGCACAUUUUAUUGAGCAUUGCUUUUAGAAAUUAAUAGGAUAUAGAUAACCACUCGAUACCCUUUCCUGAAAAAGCUGUCACUUCAGUAAAUUCCAUGAUCAAAUAGCUUCCUGUAAAUAUGACAUGAUGUCUGAAUAUCUAUUUUUCUGAAAAUAUGAUUGAGUUUAACUCUGGAACAUAAGAAGUAUGUUCACUGUAAGCAACUGAACUCAAGUGUCUCUUGAAGCAUAGUCCAAUAUUCUUUGGGAAAGAAAUUCUAAGCUUGCAACUUCCAAAGGAAGCCAUGAGGCAGGAAGGGAGAUCACUUCUCCACCCCUCCAGCUCCCCCAGCACCCUCUUGCUGUCAGCAUCGGACAAAUUCCCUAACUCUAUCCCUGCUAACAUGCUAGUUCAUAAGACCUCAGGCCACCACCAGUUGCUAGAGAAAGCUGUGAUGUUGAUCCUGGUUUUUCAUGGGACAGGGGAGUCACCAUUCCACAAUGGAGUAGAGUGUGGCCACAUUUGAAUUUGCCAGAGCAAGGCCAAAGUCCUUAUUUCACUUCAGUGAAAUCAUUUUGAAGAAAUCAUCACUGUUUUUUUCCCCAAGAGCAGUGUGUGUCUCUAUAGCAUUUUCGGACAGACAGAUCCCCAGCAGCCCUGCAUCCAUGAUGGGUUUUCUCCACUUGCUCAUCCGUGGAUCCAGAAUAGAAAUACACAGUCCAAAGUCUACCACCAUUUUAUAACUACUCAAUACUUAGUGGUACUUAGAAUAGGAAACCAUCAUGCCUCAAAUGAAAUACAUAGGCCUGGAGCCAGAAUAACAUAAAAUACUCCACUACAUGUUCCUAACUCCACAACAAGAAAGGAAAGAGAGCAGCUCUGCUUUUAAGGACUGAUGGGCAUGAGAGAUUCCAUUGCAAUCAGAGUAAUCUAGGAGUGAUGAUGACCUAUGGUUGGUGUCAACCUAAGAACGAGUGUCUGUGUUUUCCACUGACAUGGGAAGUGGUGCUUCCCACUAACCCAAGGCAAUAUUGCUGCCAACUGUGUCUAUGUCUACAUGGCUCCUUAGAAACAACAGAUGUGAAGCUUCUUCCUAGACCACUGGUUAGCAUGGCAGACAGACUGCACAGUUCUCUUAGCUGAGGCCUCCAUGGGCCUUGCUUAUCAGGCCCAGGUACCACCUUUGUCUCCAGGUGGGACCACCAUACAUGCUCAUCACCCAUGUGAACAUUUAAAGAUGCUCACCGUCAUGCUACUGUCUUCCUAUCUCAGGGGAACCACCUGUUCUCCCUGUCCCUCUGUAACAAGGCAAGUGUCCCACUCCAUGGCCCCCCUGCUGAUCUGCCCGCCCUCUCGGGCAAGCAACUCCUCAGCUUGGUAUAGCUCCUUUCUUGGAAGUUUUUAGGAAGUCAAAUCACCCAAAUCAUGACAAUUUUCUGAUGGCGAGCAUGUGGGGAUCCUUCUCCAUGUGCACCGCCAGGAAGGAGGUCAGGAUGGAGAGGAGGUGAUGCACCAGCCCCUGUGACUCCUCUCCUUUUUGUCUCCAGCCAACUGGGUGAACUACUGCAGGGACCACCUGCCAGGAGUGAGACCGAGUUCUUGCCAACAUGGGUGCCGCACCCCUCUCUGGGAUUACUGCCGACUCACACACUAGUUUAGAAUGUCUCUAAAGCAAACCUCAGACACUCGCCUUCCAGCAUGUACUUCAGAAGCCCCUCCCUUCUAUGGGAAGUCUCUCCUGACUUUCCACCCCAGGACCCACUGUCCCCUUCCUUAUGCUCCCACUGUCCCCUCAGACACUCUGUCAUGCCUCCUGUAACACAUUGGUGCUUUCCUUGUGUGCACCUGAGGUCUUCUGUGCAGAAUGGGCACCCAGGGGUGCUCAGUAAAUGUGUGAUAAAGAGAUGGACACAAUGAGCAGCCUCUAAAACCCUCAACCAUCAAAUACACGCAUCACAUUUGGGAAGAGAUGGCCUGGGCCGCUGCAGAUAUUUCACAAAGAACACACGUCUGCCUCCCUGAGGGAGGCUCCUCCUUAUCCUGCUACCCAGGGUGGGUGAGGAGUAGCUGGUCUGAGGCAUUGCCAUCCCCCAGGGCACCGGCUUAGAGAGGCUGCUGCUUGGAGAAGGGCCCUGGCUGGUGGCUGGCUGGGGCAGGAAGCUCCUUGAGGGGAAGGACAAAAGCCAUCAACCUUUCGCCUCCGAAGUCUCAUGCAGUAUGCUACAGCAAAUAUCCCCAACUGGACGGUAUGAAGGAGACCUGUGCCAUGUCAUGUUGUAUAGACCACACUGUAGGCAAACAUGAUCCAUGACAGGCCGGCCAAGAGCCCUCUCUUCCUCUGCCCUGUAGAAUUAUGGGACUGCUGGAUAAUGAAACACCCAGGACCAUUUCUCAGGAGGCAGAGGAUCUAACCAAACUUUAGUGGAUUUGAACUUUGCAGGCUGAGACUGUUUUGAGAAUGAUAGAGCGUUUAUGCCUAUGAUGAUCUUGUCAAGACUCCAGAUUAUGUGGGUUGUACUUUAACUGUCUAAUUCAAAGAGAAAGGCUGCUGUCUAAAAUCUGGUAACAGCCCCAGACUGGCCUCUGUAACUGUGGCCUUGGCUGGUUUUUGGUGUGAGAGCCACACGGGGCUCAGUCUGGGUGGGUGCGCCCUAAAUCACCCUUCUCUACCAGCUCUGCAAAAAAGCUAUCCAUUACACCUGUGUAAAACACUCCAAAGCGGGACUUAACAACAGAAAGAAUUGUACUUGAAAACGUUUUGGGUCUUAGCAGUACACUUGGUGAAAACAUUUCCCGCAAAAUCCUUUAGGGAAACCAUACCAGCCUGACAAACGGGAUGAGGAGGCCUGUUCUGAAACAUGCUACCUAAGGUGAGACUUCUGUGUGUGUAUGUGCAUGGGGGUCCUGCGCCCAAUCUCCCUGGUGCAGUGGGAAAAGGAGAAUAUGGGGAGGGGGGAUGGGGCAAUGUCAAAGAAGCAACAGCUCACACCCGAUGCAGGACUGCGAGCUGGGAGGGACUCAGGGUUAGCCAGCAAGGACACAAUCCGGGACCCAGGCGGGCAGAGUGGAGGAAUCCCGGGACACCCAGACAGCCCCGGACUGC
rnacentral:lncRNA from 1 species